rnacentral:rRNA from 1 species
AUGAACGCUAGCGGCAGGCUUAAUACAUGCAAGUCGAGGGGCAGCACGGUUAGCAAUAACUGGUGGCGACCGGCGCACGGGUGCGUAACACGUAUACAAUCUACCUAAAACAGGGGGAUAGCCUUUCGAAAGAGAGAUUAAUACCCCGUAACAUAUUUGAUGGCAUCAUCGAAUAUUGAAAGCUCCGGCGGUUUUAGAUGAGUAUGCGUCUGAUUAGCUAGUUGGUGGUGUAAUGGACCACCAAGGCUACGAUCAGUAGGGGAUCUGAGAGGACUACCCCCCACACUGGUACUGAGACACGGACCAGACUCCUACGGGAGGCAGCAGUAAGGAAUAUUGGUCAAUGGAGGCAACUCUGAACCAGCCAUGCCGCGUGCAGGAAGACGGCCCUAUGGGUUGUAAACUGCUUUUGUACCAGAGAAAACCUAUCUACGUGUAGAUAGCUGAUAGUAUGGUAAGAAUAAGCAUCGGCUAACUUCGU